CCCCCUCAGUCUGCCAGAGCCCGGA
rnacentral:miRNA from 1 species